rnacentral:rRNA from 1 species
UAGGGAAUCAUCGGCAAUGGACGAAAGUCUGACCGAGCAACGCCGCGUGAGUGAAGAAGGUUUUCGGAUCGUAAAACUCUGUUGUUAGAGAAGAACAAGGACGUUAGUAACUGAACGUCCCCUGACGGUAUCUAACCAGAAAGCCACGGCUAACUACGUGCCAGCAGCCGCGGUAAUACGUAGGUGGCAAGCGUUGUCCGGAUUUAUUGGGCGUAAAGCGAGCGCAGGCGGUUUCUUAAGUCUGAUGUGAAAGCCCCCGGCUCAACCGGGGAGGGUCAUUGGAAACUGGGAGACUUGAGUGCAGAAGAGGAGAGUGGAAUUCCAUGUGUAGCGGUGAAAUGCGUAGAUAUAUGGAGGAACACCAGUGGCGAAGGCGGCUCUCUGGUCUGUAACUGACGCUGAGGCUCGAAAGCGUGGGGAGCAAACAGG